UGGGGAAUAUUGCACAAUGGGCGCAAGCCUGAUGCAGCCAUGCCGCGUGUGUGAAGAAGGCCUUCGGGUUGUAAAGCACUUUCAGCGGGGAGGAAGGCGUUAAGGUUAAUAACCUUGGCGAUUGACGUUACCCGAAGAAGAAGCACCGGCUAACUCCGUGCCAGCAGCCGCGGUAAUACGGAGGGUGCAAGCGUUAAUCGGAAUUACUGGGCGUAAAGCGCACGCAGGCGGUCUGUCAAGUCGGAUGUGAAAUCCCCGGGCUCAACCUGGGAACUGCAUUCGAAACUGGCAGGCUAGAGUCUUGUAGAGGGGGGUAGAAUUCCAGGUGUAGCGGUGAAAUGCGUAGAGAUCUGGAGGAAUACCGGUGGCGAAGGCGGCCCCCUGGACAAAGACUGACGCUCAGGUGCGAAAGCGUGGGGAGCAAACAGG
rnacentral:rRNA from 1 species